CACUGUGAGGGGUGUCUGAGCCCCAGGAGAGCAGGUCCUGCCGGCCCAUGCUCUCGCUUCCACACACAGUUCUCCCACACCAAUUCCAGCAGCUGGGCCAUUCACCAGACGCAAGGGAACCAGGCCCCUUUCAAAGUCGACAGCAUUACACUUGCCACAGGAGAAAGGGACAAACGAGACUGAAGACAGAGCUUUCCACAGAAGAAAAAGAUGCAGAAUGCAUGCUAAGCCAAAAAAGCAAAUGCCCGGAAUAACUGUACCCAGAGCUGAGCAGGGGUCACGUCUAUAACCCCCAGCUCCUGAAAUAGCUGAAUUCAUCACCUCUUCAUGGGGGGAGCCUUGGUGAAAGCGAAGGCUACAAGUCUCCACAGAGGGCUUUCUUGCUCCCUCUCCUACCCUCUUGGCCAGUCACACAUGUUGACCAUGGAGGCCCUGUUCUGGUCACACACAAGUGACAAGGGAGUACUUGGCUUCAUCGAAAUGAAUGUGACCAGACACUGCCAAGAAUGAGGUACCCAGGCUUUGCUGCUGCUGAGAGGAGGGAUUCCCUGGCUCGAAAAGAAAGCCCAGAAUGAAAAGGCAGCAGAGCCAAGGGUCACAGAGGGCCAUAUUUGUGGUGAUGAACAGUCCAGGCUGUGGAGCUAGGUCUGUUUGGGUUCUAAUCUAGUUCCAUCACUUAAGUAAGUGGGCAAGUUACUUAACAUCACUGUGCUUCAGUCCUCACAUAUCAAACGUAGUAAAAAUAAAUGAGGUAAUCCAUGAUGGUUCGUAUUCUCCACUGGUCCUUCCAUUCUCCAUCCAUUCCUCCAUACUGUUCCCUAAGAGGUUCGCCUCAAAGACUGUAUCACCCUUACCUUCUGACUUAGGGUUAGAUUCAGCCAAGGACAGAUACUGGCAGAAGAUUGACAGCUCAGACGAGCAAGAGCCCAGGGUAUUUAUUCUCCUGGGUCACUCUUUCCUCAGAGGCUGCACACCUCCACCUACAUGCACAGUUCCAGCCAGACAGCCUCUCCCAUGGCUACUGUCCCUAAGAGUUCCACUAACUCUGCUCUGCCCCUCACCCCUUCAGACCUCAUCCCUCGCUGGGCACAUUAACCCUGUCCACUCUUCUGCAUGCAGUCCCUUUGUCAAAUUCUCUCCAUUUUACCAUUUGAGUGUCCCAUGUAUUUCCUUU